GACGAACGCUGGCGGCGUGCUUAACACAUGCAAGUCGAACGGUAAGGCCCUUCGGGUACGACGAGUGGCGAACGGGUGGAGUAACACGUGGGUGAUCUGCCCUGCACUUCGGGAUAAGCCUGGGAAACUGGGUCUAAUACCGGAUAGGACCAUGGACUUCACGGUUUGUGGUGGAAAGCUUUUGCGGUGUGGGAUGGGCCCGCGGCCUAUCAGCUUGUUGGUGGGGUAAUGGCCUACCAAGGCGACGACGGGUAGCCGGCCUGAGAGGGUGUCCGGCCACACUGGGACUGAGAUACGGCCCAGACUCCUACGGGAGGCAGCAGUGGGGAAUAUUGCACAAUGGGCGCAAGCCUGAUGCAGCGACGCCGCGUGA
rnacentral:rRNA from 1 species